rnacentral:rRNA from 1 species
AACGAACGCUGGCGGCAGGCCUAACACAUGCAAGUCGAGCGCCCUUUCGGGGGAGCGGCGGACGGGUGAGUAACGCGUGGGAAUAUGCCCUUCUCUACGGAAUAGCCUCGUGAAACUGAGAUUAAUACCGUAUACGCCCUAUGGGGGAAAGAUUUAUCGGGGAAGGAUUAGCCCGCGUUGGAUUAGGUAGUUGGUGGUGUCAUGGCCUACCAAGCCGACAAUCCAUAGCUGGUUUGAGAGAAUGAUCAGCCACACUGGGACUGAGACACGGCCCAGACUCCUACGGGAGGCAGCAGUGGGGAAUCUUAGACAAUGGAGGCAAUCCUGAUCUAGCCAUGACGCGUGAGUGAUGAAGGCCUUAAGGUUGUAAAGCUCUUUGAGCUGGGAAGAUAAUGACGGUACCAGAAGAAAAAGCCCCGGCUAACUCCGUG